rnacentral:misc_RNA from 1 species
AUUUAAUCUUAUUAGAUGUUUUUAUUCGUAAAAGUGAAACAUGCGCACUCACUAGUUGAAAUUUUGUUUGUAAUUUUAUAUUGUAGAUUUUUUCCUCAUUCUCAUUCCGAUAAAAAAUUGUCAGCUGAAGACUGCUAUGGUCUUUCGGAUUCUUCUGGCGACAACGAACAUCAUCAAAAAUACACAAACGAAAUGAUUCAUUCGACAUCAUCAGAUAUAGUUACGGAUUCGGAAGGGCUAAUUCUUCCACGUAAAUUGGCUAACCCGUAUUUAGAAUCACGGGACCGUCGCGAUCUACAUAGGGAAUUGUUAUUUAAUCAAAAAAUUGGACGAAGUGUAAUUGGGCAGAAAUCAGAAUUGGAGUGUGCCCUCCAAAAACAAAAGGAACGCCAGUUCAUUUUGGAACAGCAACAACAACAAGAUAAUAGUCGAAAUGAUUUGGAAGAUGAAUUUUCCAAAGUAAUGAUGGAACGUGCACAAAAGCUAGAAAAAUCAAAUUUACAGCAGGAAGAAGAGCAUGUGGAUCCACAAUUAAAUUUAGAGUAUCUUAACGCCAGAGCGAAACUGCGGGAUGUUCGAAGUCCAUUUAUUGCACUCCUGGAGAAUACUCUAUCGCCUAGGCAACUGUCUUACAUAAAUGAUGGAACCAAAUUGAUGUCACGCUUUGCCAUGCUACCGCAUAAUGUUGGGAAUAUUUUCAUGUCAAUGAUAACAAGUCCCCAUAGUGCUUACCUUGUACAGCAACAUGCCUAUAUAUUAAUCCCUAGAUAUAUACGAUUGUGUAUAUUUUCUCUACUAUUUAUAUUAUGCACACAGUAACAUGUUCAUAUAUCUUUAUUAAAAAUGAACUUAAGCGAAAAACGCAUUACCAUACUAUGCUGCGAAAGGAGGGUGAAUACUUCAGUCACCACGUUCAUAAAAUAAAUGAUGCUUAAACGUGCCUAUUUGCCAAAUGUAGGACAUGUUGUGAAUGGAAUCUCUUUUGGGUUUGAGCGAGGUCCUGGGAGCAGUUCUUUGUAGCCAACAUCAAGAGUUAAGUGCCGCACAAAGACCACCACUGAAAACUCCGAUCUGUAUCUGGAUGUCGUAAGCGUACUAUUCAUGAUGCACCUUCAGGAGGACUAUGGGCUCGUAUAUGUGAUUCUUAGACUUUUAUAUAACUCAUAUAUUUCGAAGUGUCUGCGUUGGUAAUCGGAUAGUUUACCGAGAGCAAUAUUCACGAUUAUUGAAUUUUCGGUAUUUCCGAUCCGGUGUGAAAACAAUGUAUCAUAUUCAUGUAAAUGAAACAGUUUGAAAGUGAAGCAAAUAUCUGCUUAUUUGGA